AGAGUUUGAUCCUGGCUCAGGACGAACGCUGGCGGCGUGCUUAACACAUGCAAGUCGAACGGUCGUAGCAAUACGGCAGUGGCGGACGGGUGAGUAACACGUGAGCAAUCUGCCUCAUACAGGGGGAUAACACUGAGAAAUCAGUGCUAAUACCGCAUAAGACCACAGGUCCGCAUGGACUAGGGGUAAAAGGUUAAUUCUGGUAUGAGAUGAGCUCGCGUCCCAUUAGGUAGUUGGUGAGGUAACGGCCCACCAAGCCUGCGAUGGGUAGCCGACCUGAGAGGGUGAACGGCCACACUGGAACUGAGAUACGGUCCAGACUCCUACGGGAGGCAGCAGUGGGGAAUAUUGGGCAAUGGAGGCAACUCUGACCCAGCAACGCCGCGUGAGUGAAGAAGGUCUUCGGAUUGUAAAGCUCUGUGGAUAGGGAUGAAAAAAAUGACAGUACCUAUAAAGCAAGCCACGGCAAACUACGUGCCAGCAGCCGCGGUAAUACGUAGGUGGCAAGCGUUGUCCGGAAUGACUGGGUGUAAAGGGUGCGUAGGCGGCUUAUUAAGUUAGAAGUGUAAUACCUGGGCUCAACUUAGGUGCUACUUCUAAGACUGAUGAGCUUGAGUGUGGGAGAGGUAAGUGGAAUUCCUAGUGUAGCGGUGGAAUGCGUAGAUAUUAGGAGGAACACCAGUGGCGAAGGCGACUUACUGGACCAUAACUGACGCUGAUGCACGAAAGCGUGGGUAGCAAACAGGAUUAGAUACCUUGGUAGUCCACGCCCUAAACGAUGGAUACUAGGUAUAGGGGGUAUCGACCCCCCCUGUGCCGUCGCAAACGCAAUAAGUAUCCCACCUGGGGAGUACGGCCGCAAGGUUGAAACUCAAAUGAAUUGACGG
rnacentral:rRNA from 1 species